GCCUGAUGCAGCGACGCCGCGUGAGGGAUGACGGCCUUCGGGUUGUAAACCUCUUUCAGCAGGGAAGAAGCGCAAGUGACGGUACCUGCAGAAGAAGCGCCGGCUAACUACGUGCCAGCAGCCGCGGUAAUACGUAGGGCGCAAGCGUUGUCCGGAAUUAUUGGGCGUAAAGAGCUCGUAGGCGGUUUGUCGCGUCUGCUGUGAAAACCUGAGGCUCAACCUCGGGCUUGCAGUGGGUACGGGCAGACUAGAGUGCGGUAGGGGUGACUGGAAUUCCUGGUGUAGCGGUGGAAUGCGCAGAUAUCAGGAGGAACACCGAUGGCGAAGGCAGGUCACUGGGCCGCAACUGACGCUGAGGAGCGAAAGCAUGGGGAGCGAACAGGAUUAGAUACCCUGGUAGUCCAUGCCGUAAACGUUGGGCACUAGGUGUGGGGCUCAUUCCACAAGUUCCGUGCCGCAGCAAACGCAUUAAGUGCCCCGCCUGGGGAGUACGGCCGCAAGGCUAAAACUCAAAGAAAUUGACGGGGGCCCGCACAAGCGGCGGAGCAUGCGGAUUAAUUCGAUGCAACGCGAAGAACCUUACCAAGGCUUGACAUACACCGGAAAAGUGCAGAGAUGUGCUCCCCGUAAGGUC
rnacentral:rRNA from 2 species